rnacentral:rRNA from 1 species
GAUGAACGCUAGCGGCAGGCUUAACACAUGCAAGUCGAGGGGUAACAUGAGUGCUUGCACUUGAUGACGACCGGCGCACGGGUGCGUAACGCGUAUAGAACCUACCUUUUUCAGAGGAAUAGCCCAGAGAAAUUUGGAUUAAUGCCUCAUAGUAUUAUUGAUUCGCAUGUUUUAAUAAUUAAAGAUUUAUCGGAAAAAGAUGGCUAUGCGUCAUAUUAGCUAGUUGGUAAGGUAAUGGCUUACCAAGGCUACGAUAUGUAGGGGUCCUGAGAGGGAGAUCCCCCACACUGGUACUGAGACACGGACCAGACUCCUACGGGAGGCAGCAGUGAGGAAUAUUGGACAAUGGAGGCAACUCUGAUCCAGCCAUGCCGCGUGUAGGAAGACUGCCCUAUGGGUUGUAAACUACUUUUGUAUAGGAAGAAACGGCAUUACGAGUAAUGCUUUGACGGUACUAUAAGAAUAAGGAUCGGCUAACUCCG